CGGGAAGUCAGCUUGCUGACUUUGCCGGCGACCGGCGCACGGGUGAGUAACACGUAUCCAACCUGCCGUCUACUCUUGGCCAGCCUUCUGAAAGGAAGAUUAAUCCAGGAUGGGAUCAUGAGUUCACAUGUCCGCAUGAUUAAAGGUAUUUUCCGGUAUGCGAUGGGGAUGCGUUCCAUUAGGCAGUUGGCGGGGUAACGGCCCACCUAGUCUUCGAUGGAUAGGGGUUCUGAGAGGAAGGUCCCCACAUUGGAACUGAGACACGGUCCAAACUCC
rnacentral:rRNA from 1 species